rnacentral:lncRNA from 1 species
UUAAUCAAUCAAGAACAGACCCAGGCUCAGACUUCCAUAAAGCUGCAACUCCACAACGGGCCAGCAAGGAGGCAGUGGGUCCUAGGGCAGAAAUUCUUCAGGAGUCGCUCCUGACCCCCGACAGUCACCUGGGCUGGAGCUGGGUUGCAGGACCCCAUCUGGCCUGAGCCACUGCCCCUCUCACAGCUCAAUUCUGAGGCCUGGCUCUCCAAACUUUAUCCUUGAAUUAGCAGUGGGAUAUUUUCUUCGAACACAGUCUGGGGAAUUGGGCUUGUCCAGACUGUGACUCAGACUCAUUCCUUUUGACAUUCCAGUGACAUGUCUCUGAGCCCACAUCCUCCCUCCAAACGCUCCUCCUGGACCCACAAACCCUGGUCCUAUUGCUAGCACCUUCCCUGAGGCUGGUGGAUUCCACAGCCUCUGUGAGAUGCUGGCUUCUAUUGUCUCAGUUUCCUCAUCUGUACAUUGGGCACCUAUCUCAUAUUCAUGGAAAGGCCACCGAGAUUACAUGGGCGAAUGGUUUGGUACUCUCCCCAAUGCCUGGCAUGCAAGAGGAACUCAAUAACCACAGCUGUGUUGUCUGUGUGAUUUUGCUGGGGAGGGACAGCAAGCGCCUGAACUACAGGCCUCUGGAACUCAUACCACGUAUGGCCUGCAGCUCUGACCCCAGGUGGCCAUCCACUGAGUCAGAGGCUGGCACACCCUCCAGUGCACCUCCCUCCCCUCCCCCCAGACCAUCACAUAGGCUUUAAUAAUUAAUGCACUGAGCCUGGCCCUGGCUAAGAGACCCAGUGGAUGCCACCACCCCUCACACCCCCUAUAAUGUUCUCUCAUUCCAUCUCCACCACCACCACCCCACUCCCGGCCCCCAGUGGUGCUCGUUUCCUCCCUCCCACCCUUCCUCCUGGCUCUGCCCUCAAGUAGAUUCUUCACCGAAGCCAAGCAGAUCAUUUUGAAGCCCUGUGAUCAUCUGUAACUAUCCUCCAUGUUUCCCCAGUCCUUCUGUCUUGGCCAGCCUCUGGAGUUCUCUUGUGACCUGGCCACAGCCAAACUCCCCAUCACCUCCAGUCUCCACCGCAUGCUCCACCCACCCUUGGCACUGUCCAGGUGCACCAAGCUCUCUUGCUUCUGAGCCUUUGCGCAUACUGUUCUCUUUUCUGCUGGAAUGCCUUUUCCCCAUCCCCUCUGCUGGUCAACUCCAGUUCUCCUUUCUGCUCAGGAGUCUGGGGCCUUGGAUCUUCCCUGCGUGCAUCUCCUCGGAUUACUCGGGCUUCCUGACAGCAUGGUGACUGGAUUCCAAGAGCAAGUGUCCCAGAAGAACCAGAUAGAAGGCGUGUUGUUGUUAUGACCUAGCCCUGAAGUCACACAGCAUCAUUCUCUCUCUAUCACAGGCCACCCAGGACUCAGGAAGAGAGGAACGUCAGGGUCAUAUCAUCAGAAGAGCCUGUGCAGUUAAAGAGGUUGUGGUGAUUCUUGGAAAACAAGAAGCUUCAGAGGGAGGGUAAAUGUAAGAACUCAGCACAUAACCAGGGACAUUAGUGCAAGGCAGGUGCCAGUGACCCUCACCGACUUACACCAGUGCUUUGAUAGGAGAUAUGGCUCUGACUCAGGACAGUUCAGCAACGUGCAUGAGCUGUCGGGGCGGGGGGACUUCUGUCUAUACUGGAAACAUUUACAAUGUAACAUACAAUUUAAAUUUAACAUACAAUUUGAACACACAAUUUAACAGGUUUUGAACUUUAAAGCCCUGAAUGUUAGUGAUCUUGCAAAUUCCUCUGUGGUGCUCAAAAACCGUAAGAUGGGCCGCAAAUGAUUUUGAAGAGGUUUGGGGCAGGAAAGACGGGGGGAAUUUCUAAGAACACCUGGCCCACAAAAUGUCACGUCUUCUGAGGGUUGUUGGAAAAGAAGGAUCUGCCUGGCAUCCGCCUUUCUGAUCACGGGAAAGGCCUAGACUAUUCUGGGGGUGUCCAAUGGAUUGUGGCAUGCGUGCACUCCAUGUGGAGGUUACAAGAGGGCUGAGGUUGCUGGGGUGGGCAGAACCAGCCCAGAUUUCCUCUUCUUUCUUGGCCUGGGUUCAACUUCCUCUUUCCCUUUGCCAGUUAGGCCCAAAGAAUUCACAUUUCCAGAAUCUGAGGAAUCCUCAGACCCCAUGGUUUAGCCACCGACACCCUAUUUUGUCUGUUACAUCUGUGGGGCUCCCUCCCUUCCCCUUGAGCCUCGGCUGUACCAUGUGAGUCUCCCUGGGGCUCCAGCCUUGACACCUGCUCUGUCUCCUUGGCCAGGAAAGGUGAGGCUGUGUGACCCAGAAUAUGUUCCCUCCCUUCUCUGAGGUGAGCUACUGGUCUCAGGAGAAGUUAGGCAAUAGUCACACCAAAGGGCUUCGUGAAGACACUAACAGGCUGUGAAGUUUACACUCGUGGUUCAUGGUAACAGCACUCCAUACCAAGAGGAGAGCAGCGGUGUGGACAGACACAGGGGUGUAGGAUCUGAGGCUAGCUCUCUUGCUUCCACUGAGCAUUUAUUGAACACCAACUGUAUGCUGGGGCUGGGGGAACCAGCGGAGACACGGUGGUGUACAUAGUAUGCAUGGCCACCACCCUUGAGGGCUCACUAUCUGAACUGUGCUAGAAAUGGAGUGUGAGGUCUGCAGAGACCUAAACAAUGAAGAAGAAUUAGCUAGAUCAGAGGCAGGAAGUGUUGUCUUCCUGAUAGAGGGAACAGCAUGUGCAAAGGCCCUGGGGACAGGGGGCAAAGGGGCUUCUAAAGCAUAGAGUAGAGAUGGAGCUGGAAGGAGUAAAUAGUAAGACAAGUGAAUAAAUAAAAUACAUGACAUGUUAGGAAUCGGUAAGUGCUAAAGAAAAAUAAAUCAGGAAAGGGACUGAGAACAUGUAGGGGGUGCCAUUUUAAAAAGAGGGAAGGCUGUACUGAGGACAGUACUUUGAACGGAGCCAAGGAAGUGAGAAUCAUGUGACUACUGGGAAGGAGGGCAUUCUGGGCUAGGGGAGCAAGUACAAAGGUCUGAGGCAGGGCUGUCCCUGGUGUCCCAGUGCAGUUAUGGUAGAGAGGCAGGGAGGUGGCAGGGAGAGUGAUGGAAGGUGAGUUUCAGAGGUGACAGGCCUGGACUGUAGAGGCUUUGUGGGCCACCGUGGACUUUGGCUUUUACCCCAAAUGAGGUGGGAGCCGUGGGGGGGUGGUGAUUGAAAAAAGGCAGGAUGAGGGUUGACAUGUGCCAGUGGUUUUUCAAAUUUCUCAUUUCAGUACCCACAGUACACACUGUGGGGUUGGCAUCAGCAUCCCCACUUCACAGAUGAGGAAACUAAGGCUCUGUGGAUACAGAGACUUGCCCAGAAUUCUUCAGUUAGGACGUUUAGCACCAGGGUCUAAACACAGAGGUCACUUACUCAGUACCACCCCUAGCUCCCCACUGGACACCCCCUCCCCACCCUGCACAGACCUCACCCACCAGGCUCAACAUUCCAAAAGGCUCAACAUUCCAAAAGGCUGGUAGAGAUAGGUGAGUGCAGAGCACACCUGGAGGCUGAGAGCCCUGCUUGCCAACCCCCAGGCCAUCAUCAGGCAGGGACUGCAUAGAGGUGCCUGCACUGGUGGGGGGCCAGGUGCUGGCAGGGUGUGUGUGCUGGCUGGGGGGCUGGCCCCACCUGGCCCGAGGGCUGCCAGCCCCAUCUGGCCAAGGUUGUCAACUCCUCUCAAACACACCUACAAGUUCAGGGCCAAGAGUUAUUAAGGAAAAGGUACAACUGAGGACAUGGUACCAUCCAUGCCUGGAGAUGACGCCAUCCUCCACAGGGUGGCCAGCCAUCAUCACCUGGGCCACUGUCUCCUCAGAGGACAUCUUCCACAUAACUAGAGAGUUGACAUGUCUGUCUGUCCUGAUGUAUUGUGGGGUCUCUAAGCGCCAGCUGUGACUUAGGAGAACAAAGAGACUUAUGACUUCAUGGGGGGCUCCAGAGCUGGGCAGCCUGAGCUCAGAUUCUGACUCAGCCACUGCUGUGGGGCCUUAGGCCGGUUACUUUACCCCUCUGGGCCUCUUCCCAGGUGAACAGGAAAGAGUCAUUGUAUCCACCUCAUGAAGUUUGUGAACAUGGUGGGCCAUAAUACAUGGGAAACCUUUCCACAAUAGUUGCCCAGGAAGGUUAGCCAUCAUCAUGAUCACUGCUGUCAUCAUCACCACCAUUGUUCUUCCUGAGUCCUCGAGAUCCAUCCUGAGCAGGUACCCAGUGAAUCUCUGGAGGAACAUGGUGACAGCCAGCCUCCUUGAGUUAUCACUGGGGGCUGGAGCCUGAGGACUGGAAGGGAUGAUGGAGCUGGGUAUGAGUCCAUGUCAGCUGUGUGACCUUGGGCAAGUCUAGUGCCCUCUCUGGACCUCCCUCUCUCCCCUGUUCACAUGCAGACAUACACAAAGGUCCUCCAGUUCUGCUCUGCAAUUCUGUGACUAGGCUUUCUAUGGGCACCUGCUGGGCCCAGCCCAGGGCCAAGGUACUCAGGGAAGGUGCCUUGAUAUCAGAUUUGGAGAGGGCUUGGGACCUCUGGGCCUCCUAGUUCCCUGGAGGGGUGCUUGUUUUUCAAAGGUCUUGCUGGUUAUUUGAUUUCCUCAUGACUGUCCUCCUGCCCCCAGCAGGCUGAGUUCCAUGUGCUCUCAGUGUUCAACAAAGCUCCAGCCUUUUGGUACCAAGCCAGCUCCUGCUCCUCCUUCCAUACUCAGGGCAGCUUUGCCUCCUCCUCCAAGAAGCUUUCCUUGACUAAGGCUGGAAUUAGCUGCCUCCCUGAGCCACCUCAUGGGCUGGUUGAGUUUGGGGUUCGUCCCCUUCCAGACAGCUCUUGGAGGGCUGGGGCUGUGUCUGACCUGUGCUAUGUCCCUGGCACCAUGGAUUGACAGCUAUGUGGGCACAGGGAGCCCUUGGUAGGGGGAGGGAGGAGGAAAUGGAGGCCCCCUAAGGCUCUAGCCUUGGAAGGAAGGGGUCUUCAACACAGCCUGCAAGGGUGAGGCUGCGCAGAUGAGGAUCUAAACCUGGCUUUGCUCUGUCCUCACUGGGCAGACUCUCCCUCCAUGAACUUCUUUCCUCCUCUGUCACAGGCAGACAUCCUCGCUGCCUCCCAGACAAGCCCACAUGGAAGGCUGCUUCCCUGAGAUCCUGGAGACGGUGUAUGUGUUGUUCUGAAGAGCCCAUGCUCAGCAGGUUUCUGUGUGUCCCCCUUUCAGCUGUGGGCUCCCCAGAGCCUGCCCUGCCUCAUGCACAGGGCUCAGGCCGGGCUGCCCUGGCUGGGCCCCUGAGCUGAGUGAAGGAUGGAUGCCCUGUGGGUGCCUGUGGAGUGGACUGAUCUGACAAGGAGGAGUCUGAGCAGAGAUCCAGGUGGCUAGGCAGCCCCUGCUCACCCUACCCUGGCUGGGCAACCUUGGGCAGGUGACUUAUACCUUUGAGCCUCCCUUUUGUCACCUGUUAAGUAGAGAUGCUCAGCGCCAUCUCAGAUUAAUUGGGCUGUGGAUGCAGAGCCUGACAUGGCCCUAAAGGGCUCUCUGUGAGAGCUCUGUGCUUUGCUAAUCUAAUGCCUCGGUUCCUCUAACUGAGCCUGGAGCACAUGGAGCAGGGCUGGUAUCUUGACUGCCUCUCUCUUUCCUCUUGCUGUUCUGUCCUUUUAGCAAACUUAAGGCAGAUCUCUGACUCAGGCCUCCCAGGUAACAGAGUCUAGAGAGGAUUACAAAACCAUAUUGUCUUUACUGUAUUUGUGUUUCUGGCCCUUCUGGUUGUAGCAGCCAUUGCUCAGACAGGACAUGGCUUUUCCUUUUUAAAUAUGCUGACCUAAGCAAUGGUGUUGGGCUGCAGAGAGGUUGAGUUCCGGGAUUCUGGGCCCAGGUAGAUGGUCCUGGUUCAAAUCCCAGCCCUGCCUCCCCGCCCCCCCACUGCUCUGUGUUUGCAGGCAUUUCUUGCCUUGGUCCCCCCGCCCCCAUACAGUGUAAAAACAGCAUUUGGACCCCCAUCCUGCCAAGGGGGCCUUUAUGUUGGUUGAUGUGUACAAAGUACCCAGAGCCAGGCCCAGGGCACAGUCAGGGUUACCUCCUGCUGUGAUCACAUUUCAAAAAGUGAGUUGAGGAGUUCCUGUUGUGGCUCAGUGGUUAAUGAAUUCGACUAGGAACCAUAAGGUUGCAGGUUCGAUCCCUGGCCUCGCUCAGUGGGUUAAGGAUCCGGCAUUGCCAUGAGCUGUGGUGUAGGUCACAGACACAGCUCGGAUCCUGCGUCACUGUGGCUAUGGCGUAGGCCGGCAGCUACAGCUCCAAUUAGACCCCUAGCCUGGGAACCUCCAU